UUCCGUUCUACCAAAUUUCAAAAAACGUCAAAAACCCUUCAAAAAACUUUCCGUUCUACCAAAUUUGAAAAAAAAAACGUCGUGUGCCCGGUGAGAUGUUUGUGACUUACCGAAAGUAAAUUUUUGUUCUGCUGUGUUGCUACAUCCAUCUCGUUUCAGAUCAAGAUAAGUCCCGUUAGGCUGACCGCAGGAAUUCACUGCUUUGUCGUAAAAAUAUAAAGAUCCGGCAACUGUCUGUUUUAAACGGUGGUUAUCUUCCUUUUCGAAAUUUAAUCCUAUAUCGUUUUUGCCUUUAUAUACAAACCAACGAUUUUUGUAUCUGUCUGGAUUAUCAUAAAGGGACGCUAAGGUCCCUCUAGUGUCUAUAUUUUGUAACAAUUCUGUAUCAAGAUAACGAAAGCUCGCACUAACAUUCAAGCAGUUAUUAACCAUUUCAGCCCAAUAACGUCUCGCGAUAUUAUUUUCCAAAAACAUUUCUCCUACUGCAAUACAUUUUCCAGACUCAGUAUGCCUAAGAAAAAGGCCUUUGCAAUCUAGAAACAGAAAGUUAGCAUUCAAAAGCCU